rnacentral:lncRNA from 1 species
GAAUCCUAGCAUGUGUCCAACCAAAUUUAAAACCCUCACUAGCAAAAAGUUGAUUCAGAUAGGCAGAGCGCCAUGUCCACAUCAUUUUCAAGAAACAAGGUUGUCGUUGAGUGACAGCGAAGCAAGUUGGUCGGCGGGGCUGCCAGACUGCUGAACAUUCCUCAGGACAUCCAUUGCCUCGGAAACCUUUGAUUUCAAAGCAUCAGGUGACUCAAGCAAAUGAAGA